CAGAUUUCCUCUCAAGGUUAGCAGAGAACUGGGACGUGACUGAAUAGGUAAAGGGCAACAUAAGUUUUAUUUAUUUUGUUUUAAAGUUAAGGAGUUUAAAAUAAGUAAAGUUAGGAGAUAGUUAAUGCUUAUUCAUAUUUUAAGAGAAGAACCCAGUAGAGAAGUAAAAAACGGACGACUCGGAACAGCGGGUAGAAGCAGCGCACCAGAAGGCAGGGGAGCACGCAACGCGCAGGCGCACGGAGGGUCAGAUUCCAAGAGGGACGGAGACGCCCACUCACUGCAACAGCAAGGUGGGCCGCAUUCGCGGGCACAGAAGCAGGCGGUCAAUGGAUUCAGUGGUGAGAAGAUGAAAUGAACAACAAUAGCAACAAAAAGCAGGAGAAAGAAGUACUGAAGCACAUCUAUAGUUUCUGUUUACAAAUUAACUAUGAGUUAACUACUGAGAACUACAAAUUAACCGGUUACUGGCAUACGGAUUUUAACACAUCCGUGUUGAACUUUAAAGCACCCUUUUGAGUCUGGGAAGGGUGGCCCGUGACAGAAGUGCAUGUUGGCAAGGGGAGGAGCGGCAGCCGGCUCGCCUGUCACUGCUGAGGCCGAGGAAAGUGCCUUCCAAGUGCAUUCCCUCAGCACUCUAAGGACGCAGUGACGGCGAUCACGUGACGGCCACCUAAGGAGAAGCAGGCCCCCCACACGCCAAGUUCACAGCAACGUGCAAACAAACCACACAGGAGGCUCCGUGACUCGGUCUGCAUAAGGGCUGGCCUUCACCGCUAGAAAACACUCUACCGCUAAAGGAACAGACUAAGGAAUCAAAAAAGGCACAGAAAUUGAUCCUUUCCCGGAUGCUUCAAGAUGAACAGCCUCCCGCAACUUGAAGACCCUGGUGAGGUUUCCGCGUCCCUCUCAUCCCGCAACCAAAACCAUCCGAGCACAUGGAAGGGUCCUGCAGAGGACACAGUGCCCUGACCAGCAUGAGCCCGCACAGCCUCGCUGUCCGCACGGACUUCUGCACGACGUGCUUCACGGGGAAGGCACAAACUGGUUUUCUAGGAAACAGUCUGUAAACUGCCUAAUUGAUAACCAUCAAUCUUAAUACAUCAGAUUAUCCUCUCUGUUAUAUAUUUUUGAAAACCAUUUCAGGAAUGAUCCUUCCUCGACAAAUACUUUAAUGCUAACUGUAACGAUAGAAAUCAGAUAAAGAAAUGAUGCCCUUCCCAAGGCAAGUACAGUCUUGUGGAGAAACCUAGAGCUUGCUGUAGAAUAAUCAUUUGUGAGAGGAACUAAAGUAUGGGCUUUAAAAACUGGAACAGCACUGCACAUCAUUUUCAAGGCUAAAGAAAUCAAUUUGCUCAGUCAGUUCCAUAGCACAGCAGGUGUGAAGUCUGCUGAAAAUGGCUUGAUAUUUCUAACAUAAUUGCCUACCAAAAUUCAUAUUAAAACCACUUCAAAGCCACAACAACAUAUACUCUGAACUCAAUUUCAAACGGAUUACAAGUCAGGAACCCCGCUGGGUCGUGCUUUUGCCUACAUAUUUGUUAUUAUUAAAAAAAGAAAAGGGAAAAACUAAAUGCAGUCCAUGCAGCAGCCUCCUGAUAAAAGGAUUAAAAUGGUCAUAAUGCAGUUUUUUGUUUUAUUUUCAGAACUUUUACUUCUGUCUAAUUACAGACCUGGAAAGAACAGUGAUCUAGGUCUAUGGCCUAAGCAUCUAUCUAAGCCAGGGGUGGGCACACUACAGCUUCUGGGCCAAAUCUCGCCUGCCACCCAUUUUUACAAAUGCACUUUGACUGGGACAUGGCCACACCCAUAUGUUCUGUAUCACCUGUGGCUGCUUUCAUGCCACAGCAGCAAAGCUGGAGAGCAGUGACAGAGACCAUAUGGCAAAGCCUAUUUCCUUGUCUGGCGUUUUACAGAAAAAGUCUGCUGACCUCUGAUCUAAACUAAUGGCUUAUUUUGGAAAUUUUACUUCAAAUUUUAUUUAAAAUGUUUACUUUUAUUAAUCUUUAUAUUUCCAUUUCUAAGGGAAAAUGGGGAAAAAAAUCAUCUCCUCAGUAACUGAGUAUUAUAUAUUCCUUGACUAUCUUAAGUAAAAAUAUCUCUAGAAACUGUUUCAAAUUGCAGAAGCUUACAACUAUUAAAAAUAAGAUAAUAAAGUCUUAGGAGACUUAA